rfam:Flavobacterium hercynium strain DSM 18292 43415_contig_17, whole genome shotgun sequence.
AAUACGGAGGAAAAAUUUGAACUGAUUGCAACCUCUUCAUAAUGGACUACCUUCAUUAUGAAUACUGAGAAAUUUGAUUUCAGUAGUAAAAAAUGCUAAAGCAGAAACU